GCAAGUCGAGCGGUAGCACAGAGAGCUUGCUCUCGGGUGACGAGCGGCGGACGGGUGAGUAAUGUCUGGGAAACUGCCUGAUGGAGGGGGAUAACUACUGGAAACGGUAGCUAAUACCGCAUAACGUCGCAAGACCAAAGUGGGGGACCUUCGGGCCUCAUGCCAUCAGAUGUGCCCAGAUGGGAUUAGCUAGUAGGUGGGGUAACGGCUCACCUAGGCGACGAUCCCUAGCUGGUCUGAGAGGAUGACCAGCCACACUGGAACUGAGACACGGUCCAGACUCCUACGGGAGGCAGCAGUGGGGAAUAUUGCACAAUGGGCGCAAGCCUGAUGCAGCCAUGCCGCGUGUGUGAAGAAGGCCUUCGGGUUGUAAAGCACUUUCAGCGGGGAGGAAGGCGUUAAGGUUAAUAACCUUGGCGAUUGACGUUACCCGCAGAAGAAGCACCGGCUAACUCCGUGCCAGCAGCCGCGGUAAUACGGAGGGUGCAAGCGUUAAUCGGAAUUACUGGGCGUAAAGCGCACGCAGGCGGUCUGUCAAGUCGGAUGUGAAAUCCCCGGGCUCAACCUGGGAACUGCAUUCGAAACUGGCAGGCUAGAGUCUUGUAGAGGGGGGUAGAAUUCCAGGUGUAGCGGUGAAAUGCGUAGAGAUCUGGAGGAAUACCGGUGGCGAAGGCGGCCCCCUGGACAAAGACUGACGCUCAGGUGCGAAAGCGUGGGGAGCAAACAGGAUUAGAUACCCUGGUAGUCCACGCCGUAAACGAUGUCGAUUUGGAGGUUGUGCCCUUGAGGCGUGGCUUCCGGAGCUAACGCGUUAAAUCGACCGCCUGGGGAGUACGGCCGCAAGGUUAAAACUCAAAUGAAUUGACGGGGGCCCGCACAAGCGGUGGAGCAUGUGGUUUAAUUCGAUGCAACGCGAAGAACCUUACCUGGUCUUGACAUCCACAGAACUUAGCAGAGAUGGAUUGGUGCCUUCGGGAACUGUGAGACAGGUGCUGCAUGGCUGUCGUCAG
rnacentral:rRNA from 1 species